rnacentral:tRNA from 2 species
GCCGGAGUGGCGAAAUCGGUAGACGCAGCAGACUCAAAAUCUGCCGUUGGCAACAACGUGCCGGUUCGAUUCCGGCCUCCGGCACCA